rnacentral:sRNA from 1 species
ACUGGGCAUGGUACAUGCCUGUUGUCCAAGCUACUUGGGAGGCUGAGGCAAGAGGAUCACUUGAGUCUAUGAGUUCCAAAUCAGCCUGUUAACAGUGAGAUCCUGUCUCAA